rnacentral:rRNA from 1 species
CGUAGGAGACGAGCGUUAUCCGGAUUUACUGGGCGUAAAGCGUGUGCAGGCGGUUCGGCAAGUUGGAUGUGAAAUCUCCCGGCUCAACUGGGAGGGGUCGUUCAAUACUACCGAACUUGAGGUCAUCAGAGGAAGGUGGAAUUCCGGGUGUAGUGGUGAAAUGCGUAGAUAUCCGGAGGAACACCAGUGGCGAAGGCGGCCUUCUGGGAUGAUCCUGACGCUCAGACACGAAAGCUAGGGGAGCGAACGGGAUUAGAGACCCCCGGUAGUCCUAGCUGUAAACGAUGUAGACUUGGCGUCGGAGGGUUCAAAACCUUCGGUGUCGUAGCUAACGCGAUAAGUCUACCGCCUGGGGACUACGGCCGCAAGGUUAA